GAGAAAGUCUGUAGGGUAGGGUAGGAAAGGCAUGAUCUACGUGUAGUUGAGAAAUAGAAUGGCAAGGUGGGGAGAAUUCUUACCUCAGCUGUUAAAACAUGUUGGUAAAGUAGCAUGCAAAGCUAUUGGUUGUAAGGUUAGUCUGAGGGGUGUCCACAGCAGGGCGAAGAAGACCCCUGGGAUUGCGGGAGCAUGAACUAAUGAGAGAGGAAAAGCAUGACUGUUUGGC